GGGUGCAAGCGUUAAUCGGAAUUACUGGGCGUAAAGCGUGCGCAGGCGGUUUGUUAAGUCUGUUGUGAAAUCCCCGAGCUCAACUUGGGAAUUGCAAUGGAUACUGGCAGGCUGGAGUAUGGUAGAGGAAGGUGGAAUUCCCGGUGUAGCAGUGAAAUGCGUAGAGAUCGGGAGGAACACCAGUGGCGAAGGCGGCCUUCUGGACCAAUACUGACGCUCAUGCACGAAAGCGUGGGGAGCAAACAGG
rnacentral:rRNA from 1 species